UCACCUGUGUUAAGGAAACAGCGUUAAAGCUCCAGCACAGUGAUUAGCACAGAAAUUCUAAGAUGUUUAAAUUUACAUGGCCUGGUUAAGACAAUGACUGAUGUUUUUACUUGUUCACUGAAAGCACAACUUGAUGCUGCUUGGAGGGACAUACUUAAUAAAUGUAAUCUGGUUAAGUAAUAAUUAUAAAAAAAGAAUAGAGACAGGGACAUUCAGUUGACCGCUUAUAAUCUUCUGUUACACUAAUCAGUACCUUUUUAUUCUCUUCAGACCUCACACUGUACACAGAAACUAUUUCAAAACGGGUCAAGGACCUAAAUGUGAAAACUAAGACCAUAAAAUUCUUAGAAGAAAAUAGAGGCGUGAAGCUGUGGGACCUUGUGUCCCUAUAUCGGGAAACAAUCCAAGCCAUGGUGAAUGAUCUUAGACAAGAAGGCCUUUCCUGGUCUGACUGUGCUAUAAACUAAACAGGGUUACGCUUAGGUCAUUCCAGUUUUCACUACUGCCUCAGAGGACCAUCACAUUGGAGUUUCUUUGGCUUGACCGUGGAAAAUAAAAGCCAGAGGAAAAUGCAGCAGUUUUUAAGUCCCUGGUACUAAAAAAGAACGAAAGAAGUUCUGGUAUCAAAAACGAAACAAGACAAACAAAAAACCUGACCACACAACCUUACAUAGAGAUAUUAUGUCUUAGUUGCCAUCUUUCCCUGGAGGCCACUUGAACAAUGAGACUACAGACUGGGAAUAAACUUGAGGUCUUAGUUACCCAGGUGAGGGGUAUUAAGUAUAACUAGAACAGAGUGGGGUCCAGCGACAAAAACGAGACUGGUAAUGACUUCUUUCAUCCACUCAUAAAGCACUACAAAAAAAAGGUCAAUUGUUAUCACAAUUCUAGACCUGAACAACAUGGCUUUUAUCAAGCUCGAAAACUUUUAGCCUCAAGUAGUGGGAAAGCAAUUAAAGUCUCAGCUCCUCAAAUAUGACACGCAAGGCCUUCAACCAAGAUAUCUUAUCAGGGGUCUCAUGUCCUGUCUCCAAUCACUGCCCCUGUAUAACUGUCACUGGCCUGCUCAUGUAUUUUUAAGAGCUCUAAACUUGACUGUUGUAACCAAACAGCAAGGUCCUUGAGGAAAAUAACUGCGUCUUAAAUCAUGAAUAAGUUUGCUUAAGCAAACUGAAGUUUAAAAAAAGAAGCACCACAUACAAAUACAUGCCAUAAAUGUUCUAUUCUUUCAUUUUACUUUUUGAAAACAGUAAUAAAAACUUCAAGUACAACUGACAAUGUCAAUGCUAAAAGGCUGAACACAGGUACCUGAAUUUCUUGGCCAACUUCUAAUCCCAGGGCACUGGGGUGUCUAAUCUGAAAGAGGACACGUCAACCUGUUAGCAGUUGUGAAGAGUUAUCUAGCAUUCACGGUAAUGCACAUUUUUUUCCUCAAGUGGAAGACAGCUUUGAUUUUUCUGACUGUAAAAUCUGUUAAUUGUAAAGAUUUAAAACAAUACAGAAGUAUCUAGAAGUAUCAUCCGAAGCCCCUGUAUUUGUAGAAGACUACUAACACCCCAGUGAAUAUUCCAGCAAGCAUCUCCUGUGUGUGUAUUCCAUUUAAAAAAACCACCUGUUGUUUUAUAAUUUGCUGAUUUUUCAUUCACCGUUAUGUUGUAGUCAUCUUUUCAUCUAAAAAAAAAAGGUUUACAGUUGAAUGUUCAUAUUGUGUAAUUUAUUUAGCCAGUACCCUAAAGGUGGCUAUUUCAUCGGUUUUAAAUUCCAGGGCUGCAAACGUUACUAUCUGGUGAGUCCACAUGAAAAGCAUGAGUGUUUAGUAUAUUAUUACUCCAAUUGUUCUGUAGGUUUAAAAGUCUUUGAAAUAAAAACUUGAGGAAAAAAGUAAUUUGCAGUGUUUUAAUGAUCUUUCUGGAUGUAUUUAUCCAGUCUACUUAUUGUCUCAUAACAAAGUCCUACGCAGGGGACUUCUAGGUCCAAAAGUACGCACACAAAUGCCCUCCAAAAAGUCUGUCCCAAUUUACACGCCCAUCAACAGUGAUGAGGAAACGCUGGUAGCGUAGUGGUUAAGAGCUACGGCUGCUAACCAAAAGGUUGGUGGUUCGAAUCCACCAGGAGCUCCUUGGAAACCGUUAUGAGGCAGUUCUACUCUGUCCUAUAGGGUCGCUAUGAGUCGGAAUCGACUCGAUGGCAACUGGUUUGGUUUACAACAGUGAUGAGCAUGUCUACCCCUUACCACCAUCUCGUACCCACACUGGGAAUUUUCAGCUAUCUGAAAGUUAAAAAAUGGUACAUUGGUUUAUUUGCAUUUAUGAAAAUUGCUGGUGAUACUGAAUACUUUCUCGUGUCUCUUGGUUGGCUUCUUUUUUUUAAAGUGAUUUGCCUGCCUGUGUUCUUUACUCCUUUUACUCCUGACACUCAUCUUUCUUACUUAGCUAUGAAAGCCCUCUGUAUAUUAAGCACAUGGUACAUCCUGUAAGCACUUUUCCCCUCGUUUUUCAUUUUUCUUUCAACCCUGCUCGUUAUAACUUUUGUUAAAUAAUUAAAAAAAAAAAAACAUUUACAAGGUCAAAUCUUAUCGAGUUAUUUAAGUUGUUGGCUUUAAUAUCACGCUGAGAAAGAUUUUUCCACUUCCAAGAUUAUUAAGGUCUUCAUACUUUCUUCUACUGCCCUUUUCCCUCCUAGGGUCCCCCCCCAUCCCUUUUUUACAUUUAGCUCUUCGAUUCAGACAGAAUUUUAGUGUAAAAGUGAGUAGAGAUCCUGCUUUAUGAUUAUCAGUUGUACCAAUAUUUACUGAGUAACCAUUUCUUUACUGACUUAAAAUGCACCUCACAGCAUGUAUUAAGUUCCUAUGUAUAUAACUGGUUUGUUUCUAGUUUCUUGUUUUAAUUUCCUGUUCUGCGUAUCAUCUGUUUCUGGGCUAGUAACGCACCGUUUCAUUCUCCAUAGCUUUUACCACAUUUUAAUGUUUGGUGAGACAGAUACCCAUAUUACUCCCUCUGUCCCCAUAAUUUUCUGGAAUAUUCUUAUGUGCUUAGUCUUCCAGAUGUAUGAGCUACAGCAAAGAUUAAAUAAACUUUAAAACAUCCUAAGAGCCAUCCUGUGAUGACUGGUUGACCAGAAGAAAACUGGGAAAACAGGGCUGUGGCUAGACAUUUUGAGCAACUGCUGCACGCUUGCUCUAGAAGUUGUUCCACCUCAACACACAAGAGGCGUGUCUGUUCAGUCACGGAAGGAAAAGCAUGAAGUAUCUGUGGUGAAUAAGCCUUUGGAGUGGCCAACAGAUGGGAGGAACGAAAUCAUGUGAGUUUCCUUUCUCCAUCCUCAAUCUUAAGAACUGGCUAAGAUGGCUCUGCUUCUCACCCUCCUUCAGUAACCUCAAAGCUGGUGUUUAAAGUGCUGCCUUAAAAAUUGAUGACUUCUUGAUCAUUCUUCUUGAAUGUAUUUAAAGAUGACCAUUUGCUGAUCUACUAGAGGCAUCAGAAGGUUUACAGUGAAGACAUGUCAUAUCCUUUUCUCCUGGUCUUUCUCUUUAUUUCUCAAACACAGAGUUUUGAAGCAACAGAAUAGAGGUAAAAUGGCACACUUACAUGGUCUAGCAUUAAUAACAAAAUCCCAAACUAAAUACAACUUUUACCUGUU